GUAUUAGCUUGGUGCAAAUGUAAUUGUGGUUAGUGCCAUUACUUUUAAUGGUAAAAACUGCAAUUACUUUUGCACCAACUGAAUAU
rnacentral:miRNA from 1 species